GCAGAGCUCCGGGAUGACCCAAUCAUCAGCACGCACUUGGCCAAGUUGUAUGACAACUUACUGGAACAGAAUCUCAUCCGAGUCAUUGAGCCUUUUUCCCGAGUACAGAUUGAACACAUAUCUAGCCUCAUCAAACUCUCCAAGGCCGAUGUGGAAAGGAAAUUAUCACAGAUGAUUCUUGACAAGAAAUUUCAUGGGAUCUUGGACCAGGGGGAGGGCGUCUUGAUUAUUUUCGAUGAACCCCCAGUAGAUAAAACGUACGAAGCUGCACUGGAAACAAUUCAGAACAUGAGUAAAGUAGUGGAUUCCCUCUACAACAAAGCCAAGAAACUGACAUAGAAUUGGAUCUGUAGCGGUCCUUUGGAGAGUGUGUGUGGCGGGAGAGUGAAACCUUUGGGGAAAAUGCUAGGAGAUUCUUUUUUCUUUCUGUUCUACUUUUCGCUCGGAAAGUUUUUAAAUCCUCAUUUGGUGCAUCUGUAUUCCAGCCGAUAGGUGUGCCAGUUUUCAUGUAAUCUUUACUGGCCCAACUUGGGAGUGGGGAAAUUGCUUAAAAAAAAGAAAAAGAAAAAAAAAAAAAAAGGUUAUUCUAAAUAAAAGGAAAAAGGCUUACACUACCUAAAGCUGUGCUCUCUGCCUCCUGGGAGAGGGCUGCAAAGCCAGGCGCUCCGCCAGCCACUGGGGCUCCUGACCCACACUCGCUGGGUAUCACCUCGCCUCCUCUUCAGAAUUGGGUGUUUGCCUGACCAUCAAAGCAACGACUUUUUAUUCUGUUUGUACGGAACCAAAACAAACAACUGUGUAUAGACUAUUUUCUUUUUUAUUUGAAAUGAGGCGUUUCGGUGUUCUUUCCCCUGCCAUACGGCCUGUCCACUCGCCUCUCCCCCGACAUGGCUCCAGCAGACUGGCUGAAGGUCCCGCCGCCGCCGCCCCCACCCACACCCCCANCACCACCACCGCCACCGCCACCGCCACCGCCGCCGCCGCCGCUGCAGCAGCAGCACCUGCUCGGCUCCGCUCCGACCUGUGAAGGACUGCGGAUGAGGCCAGGAGCUAGUGUCCACCUCGGCCACACGGGGAGCAGCGUGGGCCCUCUGGGGGCCUGCUGUGCAUGUGGCUCUUUUUAACACAGUAAACUAGAUUAGACGUCAGUGUUUUAAUUGCUCCCCCCUCUGCUUUUUUCUCUGUCUCCCUCUGUCUCCUCUCAGCCAGGAGACCAUCCCAUGUCUCUCUUUGCUUCCUCCUUCUCCCUCCAGGGAGAAAUUCUGAAAUUCUUCAGCUUCUCUCUCCGUCCCACUGCUCCUCUCCUGCUGGCAGAUGGAUUUAUUCCUUUUUAAAACAGUGAACAUUGGAAAUGAGACUGUGGGGUGUGGUUUUUUUCUCCCAGUUUCGUUGUUGGGUUUUCGCGCAACCUCAUGUCCCCCUCCCAGGGAGCUUCUCGAUUUACCUCUUAGAAGUGGGUGGCUGGGAGGUAGAGCACUGUACUCCAGCAUGCUUGGUUUAACGAUGAGAUUCCUUAGCAAGGCUUUAAUGCCGUUUGGGCAGGUAAGCUUCUGCACCUCUGUUGUGCUCAGCUCUGUUUUCUUCUUUCUCUCAUGUCCUCUUUGUCGUCCCUCCCGCUGCCCCCGCCUCCUUCCCGCUGGCCUCCUUUUCUCUUUCUUUCCCUUUCUCAGAUUAUCCUUCCAGGUUUUCGUAAUAAAUUUAUAUUUUGUAAAAGGAUUUUGUUGUACCAGGUUUUGCAUCCUCACUGAAUCUGACUGGCUUUUGUUUUCCUCUCCAAAAUCAGGUAUUUGUUCUCAACAUCUUUCCCCAUCAUGUCCAGUCACUGUUUUGGUUUUGGCACCAUCAAUAUCAAAUGUACAAACGGUUCUUGCUAACCAACACCAGGUAUAUCUGAUGUUCAGAUGAGUUCCAAUAAAAACAAUUUUUUUUUCAAAAAGUGUCCUUUCUUGAGUGCUGGAGGGCUUCUGAUCAAGUCCAGACAGGUCUGUGUAGCCCUCUAGACUGGAGAAAGUUCUGCUAUCGCGUUUGUUUCAUGGGAGACCUUCAGAUCUGGGUGAGAAAGUUGGUCUCGGAGGUCCGAAAUAGGGAAUGGGGUUCUCUUAUCUUUGUUCUUCCAAGGCAUCAUGGUCCAGAGAGGAUACGGGGUUUGGGCUGUAAUAUCCUCUGAGCCUAUUUUCUCACCUAUAAAACAGGACGGCGCUUCUUUGGUAGGUAAUUGUGGUGAGGGGGUUACAUGAAGUCAUGGAAGUGCAGGUGCUUGGAGAGCCCUGGCAUUUAGUUUGGUUUUGUUUUCAUUUGGAAUCUUGUACAAAAGCAAUUGAAAUUGAUGCUGCGGGGAGUGGUCUGUCCCGAAGCGCUCCACUGGGACGGGAUGGGUGGGCUGGAGCCGUUCUGUUCCGUGUUUCAGUAUUGUGUCUCUGUGUAUAGUUUCACUUAAGGAAGAGGUGUGCUCUAAUAAAGGACUUUAAAAAUAUUCCAAAGGGAUCCAGAGGAUCCAGAGCUGGGGUGGGGUGGGGGGUUCCCAGGAGCUCAGUGGGGCAGCAGUCCUUUCCUCUGCUCCCCUUGCAGGUCUGCUGACUUCUAGACCUGCGCUGUCUGCUGUGUGGCCACGAGCCCCGCGUGGCUGUUGAGUCCUUGAUGUCCUGACAUGUAAACAAACCAGACUUUGAAGGAAUGUGAAAAAAGAAUGAAAAAUUGCUCCACUUUUUAAAUAUAUUUUGAAAUAUUUUGAGCAUUUACUGGGUUAAAUAAAAUAUAGUAUCAAAA
rnacentral:lncRNA from 1 species